GACGAACGCNGGCGGCGUGCCUAAUACAUGCAAGUAGAACGCUGAAGGAGGAGCUUGCUUCUCUGGAUGAGUUGCGAACGGGUGAGUAACGCGUAGGUAACCUGCCUGGUAGCGGGGGAUAACUAUUGGAAACGAUAGCUAAUACCGCAUAAGAGUAGAUGUUGCAUGACAUUUGCUUAAAAGGUGCAAUUGCAUCACUACCAGAUGGACCUGCGUUGUAUUAGCUAGUUGGUGAGGUAACGGCUCACCAAGGCGACGAUACAUAGCCGACCUGAGAGGGUGAUCGGCCACACUGGGACUGAGACACGGCCCAGACUCCUACGGGAGGCAGCAGUAGGGAAUCUUCGGCAAUGGACGGAAGUCUGACCGAGCAACGCCGCGUGAGUGAAGAAGGUUUUCGGAUCGUAAAGCUCUGUUGUAAGAGGAGAACGAGUGUGAGAGNGGAAAGUUCACAC
rnacentral:rRNA from 1 species